rnacentral:rRNA from 1 species
GAGUUUGAUCAUGGCUCAGGACGAACGCUGGCGGCGUGCCUAACACAUGCAAGUCGAACGAAGCUUUUGAUUUCGGUUGAGAGCUUAGUGGCAGACGGGUGAGUAACGCGUGAGUAACCUGCCUUACAGAGGGGGAUAACGUCUGGAAACGGACGCUAAUACCGCAUGACAUUUCUUUAUCACAUGGUAAAGAAAUCAAAGGAGCAAUCCGCUGUAAGAUGGACUCGCGUCCGAUUAGCUAGAUGGUGAGAUAACAGCCCACCAUGGCGACGAUCGGUAGCCGGACUGAGAGGUUGAACGGCCACAUUGGGACUGAGACACGGCCCAGACUCCUACGGGAGGCAGCAGUGGGGGAUAUUGCACAAUGGAGGAAACUCUGAUGCAGCAACGCCGCGUGAAGGAUGAAGGUCUUCGGAUUGUAAACUUUUGUACUUGGGGACGAUAAUGACGGUACCCAAGCAGCAAGCUCCGGCUAACUACGUGCCAGCAGCCGCGGUAAUACGUAGGGAGCAAGCGUUGUCCGGAUUUACUGGGUGUAAAGGGUGCGUAGGCGGCUACGCAAGUCAGUUGUGAAAACUAUGGGCUCAACCCAUAGCCUGCAAUUGAAACUGCGUGGCUUGAGUGAAGUAGAGGUAGGUGGAAUUCCCGGUGUAGCGGUGAAAUGCGUAGAGAUCGGGAGGAACACCAGUG